GGCGACGGUGCUCUCCAGAUCGAUGAAAUGGUAACGAUUAAUCUGUUCCGGAACAAGUUGGAAUCACUCGUAAGAGAAGAGAAGAGGUUGGCGGUGGAGGCCAAGCAGAAGGCGGAGGAGGAAGAGAAGCAGGC
rnacentral:ribozyme from 1 species